rnacentral:tRNA from 1 species
CGUUCUAUUGCCGAAUUGGUAAAGGCAUCGCCGAUCACAGGAGGGGUUGCGGGUUCGAGUCCCGCUGUAACGA